rnacentral:rRNA from 1 species
GCAGCAGUGGGGAUAUUGCACAAUGGGGGAAACCCUGAUGCAGCCAUGCCGCGUGUGUGAAGAAGGCCUUCGGGUUGUAAAGCACUUUCAGUAGGGAGGAAAGGUAACAGUUUAAUACGCUGUUACUGUGACGUUACCUACAGAAGAAGGACCGGCUAACUCCGUGCCAGCAGCCGCGGUAAUACGGAGGGUCCGAGCGUUAAUCGGAAUUACUGGGCGUAAAGCGUGCGCAGGCGGUUUGUUAAGCGAGAUGUGAAAGCCCCGGGCUCAACCUGGGAAUUGCAUUUCGAACUGGCGAACUAGAGUCUUGUAGAGGGGGGUAGAAUUCCAGGUGUAGCGGUGAAAUGCGUAGAGAUCUGGAGGAAUACCGGUGGCGAAGGCGGCCCCCUGGACAAAGACUGACGCUCAGGCACGAAAGCGUGGGGAGCAAACAGGAUUAGAUACCCUGGUAGUCCACGCCGUAAACGAUGUCUACUCGGAGUUUGGUGUCUUGAACACUGGGCUCUCAAGCUAACGCAUUAAGUAGACCGCCUGGGGAGUACGGCCGCAAGGUUAAAACUCAAAUGAAUUGACGGGGCCCCC